rnacentral:lncRNA from 1 species
AAGGAAGGUCUGUUGCUCCAAGUUAUAUUUCUGGCCAUGUUCUUUCUCUUGCCAGCCUAAUCCCAGGCUGGGAAAUCUGUGACGCAGAGGCUGCAUAGGCAUGUCCCCAUUAUCACACAGUUGUAAGCAAGGGAUAAUGUACUUGGGACACUGCCUAUUUGCCCCAUUCUGUUUUUCCUCCAGCAGCUACAGAACAGAAUACUACAGUUGGCCUAUGCUACCAAUGUGGGGACUCUUUGUUGAGUAUCUUGACAAGUUAAUCCUGGCUUAGUAUUAGAGAACGGCACUUAGAGAAUGUGCUAAUGCCAAUUGUUUUUCUCUGCAGCUUUCUCCUUCCUUUACCCCUACCUCAGUGAUUCGUAAGAUGUACGAGAGCAAAGAGAAAAGCAAGGAGGAGCCAGCAUCUGGAAAAGCAGCUCUUGGUGACAGUAAAGAGGAUACUCAGAAGGCCAGUGAAGAAAACCUCCUGUCAUCCAGCUCUGUACCCAGUGCCGAUCGAGACUCUUCUCCCACUACAAAUUCCAAACUGUCAGCAUUACAGA